GGCCGUGUAUGGGGAAUCUCCUUCGGGAAGGGCUUCUCCCUCUGCACCAGGAAGAGGAGAUGUCCAAAUGUCGGCACUGUUCCUAGUGGAGAAGGCAGAGCUUAAACUUGGGAAGACGGGAAAACUUUUCCACUCCUAUGGUUUUGGCAACCGGAUGGUCCUUCCCUGGCUGGACCCUGCUGGCUCCGGGGCUGCUGGAGCUGAGACCCGGGCACCUUGGACAAAAAGCAGGCAGAAGGUCAGAAUUCUUAGCAUGUCGGUUUCCUGAAUCUCUGCCUGGGUCCCAUGGAAGCAACAGUGGAGGGAAACCACAGGAAAGAACCCAGGACUGGCCCUGUGCACCUGUGGUUCGAGGCAGCCUCAUGGACUGGAGGGUUUGCGGUUCUCACCAGACGGGCAUCUGUUAGACGACUCUGAGGACACAAUUACCAAGGCUUUGACUGGAUUGUCACAUUUGAGAGAGAUGUACAUGGACACAGAUAUGACCAGACAGCUUUAAAGAGCAAGGUUGACUUUAUGGAGCCAAUGAAACCCCUUGGAAAGAUAGGCCUGGUGCCUUGAUUGCAUGGUUUUCAGCAGCCUUACCAAUCAAGUACGGAAGGUUACUUCCCAUCAGGUGCAGGAACCUCAGAAUAUUUGGGGGCCUUGAUAAGAGAAGAAAAUUCACCCAAAGCCAUAGGUAUUGCAGGUUUGGGGCAUUUUCCUAACUUGUGUGACUUCGGUCUGUUUGACUGGGAUGUUCAUGAUUCGCCUCUCACACCGCGGCGUGCCCUUCUCCCACCUACCCCAGGUGGGCUGUGGACCUGAUCCCUCUGUGAAGAACUAGUUAUGAAGAUAAGAAUUCAGGAAGACGUGUAUCAGAAGUGGGCCACUGAUGAAUGUAAUGGGAGAGGUGGACUUCAGUUUCCUGGUUGGAGAGCGUGAUAUUUUUUAUCGGACAUAAAUCCAAAGGACCAAUCCUAAGUAAGAAUGUUUCAUGCAUUUCAUAUGCUGCAUCUCAUGGAUUGUCAGAGUGGCUCUGCAGGGAACAUGCGAGUGAAGGGCUCUGUGUGUGGGUUCUCGUGGCAUGUCUGUUGUGCCUUCCCAUGACGUGUGAUGAAUGGGAUUUGCAGGAAUGCAUCCCUACGGAGCCCAGAGCCUGGAGCCUGGGGCCAGAGAGACUACAGCCUCUCGGGUGGGACCAGCAUGGCUGGGCUCACUCUGUGGGCAGGGACAUGGGCCUGUGGAGGAGGAACCAUCUUUCCAUUUCUGGCCCGGGUUGUGCUAGAUGGGGAUGGAAACUGUCAGGAAUCCAGGCAGCAAGGAUACUGGGGGCAGGGGUGGGGGGCACCCACCCCCUUGCCGUUGGUGGAUGCUCAUCUUGGCACUGGAAACCUACAUUUUGGAAAGUUGCAUAUUCGUUCCUAUUUGCGUUUUCAAUAAGGAUUCCCCUUAGUUUUCUGCAGCUUUAGUUUUAUUAAUAUUCUUCUGCAAAUAUCAGCUAAUUUUGGUUAUACUCAGGGAAUAAGAGCAAAGAGACUAUCUAAGGUAGGAAUUUUGAUGGUACCAUGGAAAUUGGAGCAAAAACUAACUCCAAGGGGAAGGUGAAUCUCGCAGGGAAAGCCUGGGACCCCCGAGAUGAGCUGGAAAAUACACCCUACCCAUCUGGCAUCUCCUCUAGAGUCCCUUUGUUUAAACUUCGGAGGGGUUUGCACUUGAGCAUUAGCAGGAAGCUGUUCUGUGUCUUUUCCCUGGGAGGCGCCAUUUCAAAAAACUUGCCUCCAACACUACUGUUCGGUUUGUACGACAGUACAGCAGUUUCCCAAAGCGUGCCUUGUGGACCACCCGCAUCUGAAGCUCCCGGCGGGGGUAGUGGGGGUGGAGGGUAAAUUGCAGAAUUCCAGUUUUUUAGAGACUGAGUCUGAACCUCCAGGUCUCUGGACCUAGGGAUCUGAAUUUUCAACACAUACCUACUUGAUUUGUAAGCAUCAAAAUUGAGGAACCAUUGCUGCAAAAUCUCGGAAAGUUGAGCUGAGCUCUGAACACGGUCUUACCUCCCAAGUUCGUAAAAGAGGAGGAUCAUUUCAGAGCUCCAUGGCCACAAGCCUGAAUUCCUCCUGCUUGAGUGGCAUGUGCAAGUGCAUGCCUUUGCUAAGGCCCUGCCAAAAGAUAACCACAGGUGGAUAUGCCCUCAGUGGGACUCAAAUGACAUGCACUGUUUCCAAAGAUAGCAACACCGAACUCGUGCUGAUGACUCUGUGUCUGUAUGUGUGCGUGGCUGCCAGCCUUAUAUAGAGAGUGGGGGCCCUAGUGGGCGAACAGCGUGUUCAAUGAGCUCUGGGACUUGCCGGGUCCUUAGAGCCCUGAUACGUAAGGUCACCACAUAUCUGCGUCUGUCUUUGGAGAUCGCCCAGCCCAGUGGGGUGAACAGCUGAUAAAUGCUCUUAGCAAGCAGAGCUGGGCAGCUGGGCCAUCUUUUUCAAAUGGGACCGAACAUCUGGAAUGGUUUCUUGGGGCAGUGGGGCUAUCGUUAGUAUUACUGACACAUGUCAAGGUAGACCACAGACCCUCAUUUGGUUCUGGCAGAGUGGUCCCGACAGGGGGUCCUGCCUGCCCAGCUGCCACUCCAUUUGUUCCUAUGUCAUUUCUUGAUUCUCAAGUCAUUUCUUGAUUUCUCACCCUCAUUCCUCUCUUCCCUCACCCUCAAAGCCAAGCCCUCACCAUCUGCUACCAUAACUGCAGGUGGUCAUCGUGAUCCUCCUGGGUCAUGGAACGUGAGCCUCAAAGAGAGGUCCCGGCUGUCCCCGUCGCCACAGCGUCAGGAGUGCCCCUGGCCCGGGGGAGGUGUGCUUGUUGAAUGAAUCGAUGCUAGGCUAUCUCAGAGGAAGAGCCCUGGGCUCCUCCUGGCCUCUCUCAGUGGGACCUGCCCCCUGGGGCGGGAAAUCCCCAGUUAAGGCGCUGAAUGAGUCAGAGCCACGCCAGAGCGCCCGGCCAGCCUAGUUGGUAAACAGGCAGCUGUGGAGUGCGUACUUGUGCACCUCAUCUUGGGGUGAAUCCCUUCCAUGUGGACCCUCCUCUGGCCUCCACACUGUCCCUUGCACACACACUUCUCCCUUCCCUCUCAUGGCUCUUGUCCUCACAAGCCUCCCAUUCCUCAGAAGCCCCCUGGCCCUUCCAGACCAGCUGGAGCCCAGUCCUCCCAGAAACACAAUUCCUUCUGACGACACCAACCCAGCCUGAUCUUUGCUGACUCCCAGUGCCCAGUGGCCUUGGGGCCAAGGCAGCUCUGCCAGGCUUGGGUCUUGGUGGUGGGUUUCAGAGUAUGCACCAGAGGAGGAGGAGCGGGGAGGGGACAACUCAAGGACACUGAGCGUUGAGUGGAGCCCCCGCUAGCAUUCUGACCUAGCCUCAGAAGUCGGUGGCAUCCCUUCUGCUGCAUCCUGCACAUCAAUGUGUACCCAUGGCAACCCCUGAGUUUCCAGGGGAAGUGGCCAGUUUGGGGAAAUGGUAAUCUACCAGUGUGCCACUGUUGUUUUCUCAAACAAGAAAUUCGUUCUUUAAGAGAGAGAUGGUGUUGGCCCAAUAAAAACUAUUUUUUACACCGCUUGUUUCCCACCAUGUACGCAAUACAGCAUAGGGUUUCCAGUGUGCGUGGGACUGUCAUCAACCUUUAAACCUUCUCUCACAUGAGUCUCCUCCCUGUUAUUUUCACUGUAUAUGAUCCUUUUUCUUUGCUUAGAAAAAUUGUCUUUAAUCUUUUCCUUCAAAGGAUACAGAAGAGGUUGCACUUCCUAGAAGUCCUUUAGUGAUUUAACUAUCUGAAAAAAUAUAAAUUAUUUUUGGCAGACAGAUUUUUGUUUCACGAGAAGGCUGAUGUUGGGACAAUGGCCAAGAAACCAACCACUCCCUGGCACCUCCCUUGGCUUGUUCUUGUUUCAAAAACCACCCUUUUGAAAAUAAUUACAGGUAACCUACUUACAGCAUAAUAUAUAACAUUUGGCCCAGUCGACCCAAGUCAGCAUUCAAUCAAAACCUCAGAUUAUUUAGGCAAAAAUCAAACCUAAUAAAUUAGCUGUACAUUUCAUAGCACUUAAAAAAUAUAAAGUGUCAUGUGCUAGGAAGCAAGGGCUGCUACAAGCCAGGGUGCACAAGCCACUCUGACUAUGCAUUAGGAGUGCUCCCGAGGUCACCAAAGGACUCCCCACUGAUGCAGGCGCUGUUCAGACAUCUGUGAGACCUCACUGGCUCAUAUCUUAGCCCCUGGGCCCAAGAUAGGCUGUGUCUGUUGCUUGGAGAACCUCAGUCUGACCAGUGGCCUGUGUGACCCUCUGCCAUGGAGGGUGUCCAAAUGUGCUUUCCGCUCUAGGCUGCCCUGUACAGUGGUGCCAGUCAGGCACCAAGCAACUGCAGGAACAGUAUUCUCAUUAAGAACAUCCUAGGUCUUUUCUGGGAGACAGCCCUACCAUAUCUUGAGGAAUGUGGUGCCUCUUCCUAAUUCAUGCAGAGGUGCAUGCCAGCUGGGAGGGGAAAGAACACCAUGACUAGCAAGUAAUGGGGGUAUAACUCUGCCUCUUCUGUUCACGGGCUGCAUGCCUACCCUAUGAGUAUUAGUCAGUGCGGGCUGCUGUAACAAAGUACCAGAAACUGGGUAGCUGCUUAAACAACAGCAAUUUAUUUUGUCACUGUCCUGGAGUCUGGAAGUGUGAGAUGAAGAUGUCGGCAGGGUGGGCUUCCUCUGAGACCUCUCUCCUGGGCGUGUAUAUGCCAUCUUCUCCCUGUGUCCUCACAUGGUUGUCCCUGUGUGUGUGUCUGUGUCCUCUUGACUUCUUAUAAGAACAUCAGUCACACUGGAUUAGGGCCACCGUAAUAAUCUCAUCUAAUUUUACUUACCUCUGAAAAACUCUCUCCAAAUAGGGUCAUAUUCUGAGGUACUCAGCAUCAAGGCAAUAUAUGGAUUUUUUUGGGGGGGAAGGACACAAAUCAGCCCCUUAAUACUAUGCCUCAGGGUCCUGAUCUCUAACCUGGGGGUUAUAAUAAUAUUCUCAAAGGAAUUUAUGUGAAAGUGCUUUGAGGAAUAUAAAGUGCUGUGUAUAUAUGAAGUGUUAAUUCCUUUGCCCUAAUGACUUGUGCCAAGAUCCCUGAUGUGAUCGGUUAGAUCUGGUAGAAAUACCAGGUGGAGUCAGUUCUGCAGAAGGUGGGAAGAGGCAGUAAGAGGUGGUGGGGUUGGGGCAUGAGAUGGUGGCAUGCCUGCCUGCCCUGCAUUAAUUUCUUCUCUGCUACCCCAGCUGUGGGUGCUGACGCUUACUCAGUGGAUACUUAGCAGGCACCUGCUUUGUGCCAAACCUCUGGAGCAUGAGGUGUGGAGGAAGAGGGAGGGGAGGGAUGGCCCGUACCAGGAUGUGGAAGAUCCUGAGAGCUCUUGUUGCAUUGGCCUUCAGAGUGGUUGGAAGUGAUGUCACGGUUAUUGGGGGGCCAACAAGCUUACUGGUUAUAGAGGGCGACUUGCUCUCCCUUCACAGAAUCACAUCAGGUUGAUUCUGAUCAGAUAUCUAAGCAGUGUUGUUCCCUGAACAAGCAUUAGCUGAUGGUGGUGGGCACACGGAAAAGGGAUUUAAUUUCCUUUGGACCAUAUGCUUAAUUUUUAUAACAUUUCUCAAAAUUUAUGAACAUGCUUUUGCCUUCUGAAUCUGCCCUUUAUUUCUAGAAGAACAAGGAAGGUCAGAUCUCUUCCCCAGAUGAUAAAUGACCAGAGCCCCUUCUGUAACAGCCACUCCCAACCUGGGGUUUUUCUUUGAAAUCAGGACUCUGAGCAGAUGAAGAGAUAUGAGUCAAGAGCAUGUCCAAAAAGAGGUCCUGCUGUGGACUUCAUGGGGCUGCUAUAACGUCUGUGUGCCUUGUUGUCUUUUGGAAUCCAGAACAUUCUGAAUUACAAAGCACUCCAAGAAUUUCAGAGUUGCAAACAUGCUGACAUCCUAAAUCAUCUGAUAUGGGAUCCCUAAUAAGCCUGGAGGUGUUCACCAGAUGAAGUCCCGCCCUCGCUUGUCCGCGCUGCUUCUGUGUUAGAAACUCAGCUUAGGCACGAGGACAGGAAUCGGCUGUUCUGAUUGUACAACCAUCAUGCUUUCCAUGGCUGACUGAUCGGAGAUCUGACUACACUUUACACCUGGACGUCCAGCACUAUUUGUUCCUGUUCUUUUCACUGUGGAGUUUGUCUUGAAAGAAAGCCUCAGCAUGCUAUUUCUGAGGGCCUAUCGACUGCUCCGGCGUGGCCAGAAUACUGUAUCACCGUCCCCUUGUGCUCACGCAUGAAUUGGAUCCUACCAUUCCCAGAUUGAACGUCUAUGCUUACCGAUGCAAGCAUUUUAUCAAAAACUCAAGUCCUUAAAAGAAUUUCUGGGAAUAAUGCUGAAGAUCAAGUAUGUCUGUGCCUUGCCCCUUUUAGAAGACUUGUUUCUGUAGGAAUGGACACUGGAAUACCAACAUGCAGCCCAAUGAUACCCCAACUUGAAGUGGUCCCAAGAACAAUUGGGCUUUGUUUUGUUUUAAUAGUUCCCACAGUUCCAUGUGGUGGUAAGAAUGAGAAGUCCCAGGGCAAUAGAAACAUGAAUGUCUACAGACAUGCAACCUCAAACCAGAUUAAAACUUAUCCUCAAUUUCAUAGAUUCAGGAUUAAAAAGACUAUUGAAAUUUACAUACUGCUGUGGACUUUUGAACUAGUGAAGUUUCUGGAAUAGUUUUCUUUCUAUCAUAGAAAAUGUCUCACAAAACAACCUUAUAUUUUAUUCGGCCAUAGUAAAUAUUUCAGGCUCUACUGUUGUGCUAUUUUGUUAAGAAAGGCAAAUACAAUGAAUUACUUUUCAAUUAAUAGUAGAAAAGAAUGCUAUGGCUGAAAUAAAGCAGUUGAAUUAAAAUGUUAAUUUGGUUUCAGCUUUUUACUUCCCUAAUUAUGUUCUGCUUGGUUUAGUAAUAAAUUUUUCAUUUUUGCCUGGGGUCCUAGAUAUAUGUUUCAGGGAAGGCCAAGAUGGAUUCAGGUUAAAAGCAAUUUUCCCAUAGCCUGCUGGAGCUGGUCAAGCGGUUCAUGGAUAAGCUGGCAAGAAGGAGCCACACAUUUAUUUUCUGUCAAAGAUGAUAACCUCCCUUUGAGCGUUUUACUUCUGGAGGAGACUAAAUGUUUUAUCCUCAUUUAUCUAGAAGGCAACUAACUUACAAUGCAUCUAUUUGCCACAUGGUUUAGUGGCGGUAUUGAAGAGGAGAGAAGGAUGUAUUUGGUAAGGGUAUGCUGGAGACAUGAGGAUGUAUGGUAGUGAAAUUUCAUUGCUGCCAGCAAAGGAAUCAUUGAAACUGUUAAAAACUGCUAUCAAAAACAAUGAAAAGACUUAAAGCUAAACCAUCUGGGCCCAUUUAGUUUAGGGAUGGUGGAGACUGAAACCAUGGUGGUGGAGACUGGACUUGAUAAUAGAAUCAUAGAAGCAAAACCUGUGGGAUUCUAAUGCUUGCUGAAGAAGACGAGGACACUAACAGCAGACACAUUUUUCUGAGCCCACAUGGAACACAAAUAAAUCACAUUCUCAGACUCAAAACACACCUUAAUGAACUUAAAAGAAUAGAAAUCAUACAAUGUCUGUUCUAGAUCACAGUGGAAUUAAACUAGAAAAUAGAAAGAGAAAAGCAGAUAGAAAAAUCUCAAAAUACUUGGAGAUUCAACAACACUCUUAAAUAACACCUAAGUCAAAGAAGAAAUCUCAGGAGAAUUAAAAAAACAAUUUGAAUUAAAUGAAACUGAAAAUACUAAAAAAGUACUUUGAAUUAAAUGAAACUGAAAAUACAAUGAUCAAAAUUUGUAGGAUGCUGUGAAAGCAGUUCUCAGAGGGAUUGGGAAGGAAGAAGUAAAACUGUCUUUGCAGAUGACAUAAUUUUCUAUGUAGAAAAUCUGAAAUAAAUCCACAAAAAAAACCCCUCUUGGAACUAAUAAACCACUAUAGCAAGGUUAUAGGACACAAGGUUAAUAUACAAAAAGUCAAUUGGUUUCUUAGAUACCAUUAAUGAAUAAGUGGAAUUUGAAAUUAAAAACACAAUACCAUUUACAUUAGCACCCCCUAAAAAAGAA